GGGGCACGGGAACCAGCCUUCCCGGAAAAAAGGUUGCAAGAAAAAAAAUCGCUUGACCAAUUGGGGGAAGAACAUGAUGUCCUCCAGCUUGCUUUUACGACUCUGUGUAGCUUGUCUUGAAAGUUGAUCUGGAUGCUGGACACACCACUGCUGGCAUGUUGUUGGGAAGAGAGGUACGCUGAGCACAGUGCCUGAGCUCCAUCCUGACCGAGGUACCCCAGACAGGGCGCCUUCGUCCCUACACUGCACGUCUCCGCUGCACUACGUUGGACGUGCCACGCAGAUGUGUUGCGUGUGUGCGGCUCAUCUCCUGCAGGCUUGCCCUGCGUGCGCAGCGUGACAGCGCGUGGAGCUGAAUGCAAUGACACUAGGACGCAUGUGGGGCAGUGCUGCCCAGUGCGCACAAACUCAGGCCAGCUCCUCACCCUCCCAGCACCGGCUCAGAAGAGCACAGAGGCCAUUAGUGUCUUUAAUACAACAUGGGCCAGCGGCUGGUGACCGGAGAGGUCCUGCUCAAUCCCAUGUUCCUCCACAUCAGUCAAGCUCUGAAACUUUAUGUAUGCAACGGACACCUAAGAAAUGCUCCUCUGGCAAAGUCUGUACGAGAGAAAGCUUUCUGCAGGAUGUGUAUUUUUAACCUGGUUGCCCACUGAAACUAUUCAAAU